AUGUCGGACACCUCUUCACGACAACUUCCUAUCUUCAUCUUCCUCAAAACUCCACCACCAAAGCAACACACAUGGAAUCCACCUGAUGCAGUUUCGUUGGAGUUUUCGUCACUAGGUGUUUUGAUGUUUGUAUUGAAGAAAAGGAUGGUUGAGCUUAACAUGUGUUGCGCGGUAAAUAGAGAUUGGGGAGUGUUGUCCAGUCAUGAUACUCUCUAUCCUAUAUGCACUCCUUGUCAAGUAGCAUGUCUAUUUGUUUAG